ACACACAUACACACAUAGAGACACACAGAGAAACAGACACAAACACACAUAGAGACACACAGAGAAACAGACACAGACACAAACACACAUAGAGACACACAGAGAAACACACACACACACACACACAGAGAAACACACACAUAGACACACAUACACACAUAGAGACACACAGAGAAACAGACACAAACACACAUAGAGACACACAGAGAAACACAUAUACACACACACACACAGAAACAGACACAUAGACACACAGAGAAACACACACAGACACAGACACACACACACACAUAGAGACACACACCACACCACACACACAGAGACCACACUUUUAUAAGGAAUAUCUUUCUUUGAAGUACUGUGUUCUCUGUGGUGUGUCCUGCACCUUGUCAUCUCAGUACUCAGGAAGUGGGGGCAGGAGCUCAGGCAACACUGAGUUGACAGCCACCCUGGGUUACAUGAGACCCUGUCCCCAGAUGAACAAACAGAAGCCUGUUCUUACCCAUCCCAAGAAACCAAGUCAAGAAGAAAGAUGCCCAUAGAGGCUUGUGAAGAAAUCCCACUGGCAGAGAACAAGCAGGCGGCCCCACCUUUGCCGGGUGCUCUAUUAGAGAGACCAACAACAACAACAAAAAUCACAGUUUGGCAAUUUGUGACUCAGGAGCAGACGAUCCGUCUGUCUCCCCCACCCCCCCACCCAUUCACCCAUCCCAUCGAUCUAUCCGUUUAACCACAGUGCUGGCUGGUUUCAUGUCAACUUGACACAGGCUGGAGUCACCUGAGAGGAGGGAACCUCUACUGAGAAAAUGCCUCCGUAAGAUCGGCCACAGGCAAGAGUGUAGGGCAUUUUCUUGACUAGUGACUGAUGGGGGAGGGCCCAGCCCACUGUGGGUGGUGCACCCCUGGGCAGGUGGUCCUGGGUUCUGUAAGAAAGCAGCUGAGCAAGCCAUGGGGAGCAAGCCAGUCAGCACUGCUCCUGUGUGCCGUAUAGUCUGUGGCCUCUGCAUCAGCUCCUGCCUCCAGGUUCCUGCCUUGCAUGAGUUCUGUCCCGACUUCCUUCAGUGACGAGCAGUGAUGUGGAAGCCAAAUAAACUCUUUCCUCCCCAAGUUAAUAUGGUCA
rnacentral:lncRNA from 1 species